rnacentral:rRNA from 1 species
AACGAACGCUGGCGGCAGGCUUAACACAUGCAAGUCGAACGCAUCCUUCGGGGUGAGUGGCAGACGGGUGAGUAACGCGUGGGAACGUGCCCUUCAGUUCGGGAUAACCCAGGGAAACUUGGGCUAAUACCGGAUACGUGCGAGAGCAGAAAGAUUUAUCGCUGAAGGAUCGGCCCGCGUCUGAUUAGCUAGUUGGUGGGGUAAUGGCCCACCAAGGCGACGAUCAGUAGCUGGUCUGAGAGGAUGAUCAGCCACAUUGGGACUGAGACACGGCCCAAACUCCUACGGAGGGCUGCAGUGGGGAAUAGUGGACCAUGGGCGCAAGCCUGAUCCAGCCAUGCCGCGUGAGUGAUGAAGGCCUUAGGGUUGUAAAGCUCUUUCGUCCGGGACGAUAAUGACGGUACCGGAAGAAGAAGCCCCGGCUAACUUCGUGCCAGCCGCCGCGGUAAUAC